UAAACUAUAAAUCAUUUUAAAUUAACUAUUUAAUAUUUUAAAAUUUAAAUUUUAUUAUUUAAUUUUUUUAAUUCGUUUGAUUUGAGUUAGUCAACAGUAUACAUGUUUAAUUAAUAUACUUCGUACAAUUCUCAUAACUUUUAAUAAAUUUAUUUAAAUAAAAAAGCUUAAAUUUUAGAAUCAAUGCGUAGUCGACUGACCCAAAUCUAAUAAAUUGAAAGAUUGGACAAUAAAAUUAAAUAUUUGAAAGGUCAGAUAGUCAAUUCAAAUGAUUCAUAGUUCGGUUAAGUUCUAUACAUUUUUACCGAAACUUUUUACAUUGUUUUGAUUAAUUAAGUCUUCUAUUUUAAUCUACUAGGCGAAAUAAUAAUUUUUUAUUAAUGUGACAUUUUAGUUAUUACUCUACUAUGAUACUGUCAUAUCACUAAUAUAUUAUUAAUCAGUUAAUAGAGUUAUACUAUAAAACAUAAGUCCUAUAUUUUAUUUUACCAGACAAAAUAAUAAUUUAUUGUUAAUGUGAUAUUUUAGUUAUUAUCACAUUAUCUACUAUAAUACUGUCACAUUGCUAAUACGUCAUUAUUCAGUUAAUAUAAUAUACUGUAAAAUACAAUUAUAAUAAUUUAAAUAUUUUAAUUAAAAAUUAUAAUAAAUUAAAAUUUUCUCUUAUGUAAUAAUUAUUUUUAAAA
rnacentral:lncRNA from 1 species